rnacentral:rRNA from 1 species
AAUGAACGCUGGCGGCGCGCCUAAUACAUGCAAGUCGAGCGAGAAGACGUAGCAAUACGUUUGUAAAGCGGCGAACGGGUGAGGAAUACAUGGGUAACCUACCCUCGAGUGGGGAAUAACUAGCCGAAAGGUUAGCUAAUACCGCGUACGCUCCUUGGACUUCGGUUCAGGGAGGAAAGCGAUACCGUGGGUAUCGCGCUCUUGGUUGGGCUCAUGUCCUAUCAGCUUAUUGGUGAGGAACGGCUCACCAAGGCUUCGACGGGUAGCUGGUCUGAGAGGACGAUCAGCCACACUGGCACUGCGACACGGGCCAGACUCCUACGGGAGGCAGCAGUAAGGAAUAUUGCGCAAUGGGCGAAAGCCUGACGCAGCGACGCCGCGUGGGGGAUGAAGGUCUU